UACAGAGGGUGCAAGCGUUGUUCGGAAUUAUUGGGCGUAAAGGGCGCGUAGGCGGUGCGGUAAGUCUGUAGUGAAAUCUCUGGGCUCAACUCAGAGUCUGCUAUAGAAACUGCCGUGCUUGAGUGUGGGAGAGGUGAGUGGAAUUCCCGGUGUAGCGGUGAAAUUUCGUAGAUAUUGGGAAGAACACCGGUGGCGAAGGCGGCUAUCUGGACCGAUACUGACGCUGAGGCGCGAAAAGCGUGGGGGAGCAAACAGG
rnacentral:rRNA from 1 species